rnacentral:rRNA from 1 species
CGUGUAGGCGGUGCGAUAAGUCGGGCGUGAAAUCCCCGGGCUUAACCCGGGGCGGUCGCUCGAAACUGUCGUGCUCGAGGGUGGGAAAGGGAAGUGGAAUUCCCGGUGUAGCGGUGAAAUGCGUAGAUAUCGGAAGGAACACCUGCGGCGAAGGCGGCUUCCUGGACCAUUACUGACGCUGAGGCGCGAAAGCUAGGGGAGCAAACAGGAUUAGAUACCCUGGUAGUCCUGGCCCUAAACGUUGAGCACUGGAUGUAGCCCUUCACCGGGCUGUGUCGAAGCUAACGCAUUAAGUGCUCCGCCUGGGGAGUACGGUCGCAAGGCUGAA